AGCACAAGUGAUGAACAACAAAGGGACUUAAUACUGAAACCCGAUGUUAUAUUGCAAUGUGCUGAUGUGC
rnacentral:snoRNA from 1 species